rnacentral:rRNA from 1 species
CGAGUGGCGAACGGGUGAGUAACACGUGAGUGAUCUGCCCUCAACUUCGGGAUAAGCCUGGGAAACUGGGUCUAAUACUGGAUAGGACCAUCCUUUAGUGUGUGAUGGUGGAAAGUUUUUUCGGUUGGGGAUGAGCUCGCGGCCUAUCAGCUUGUUGGUGGGGUAAUGGCCUACCAAGGCGUCGACGGGUAGCCGGCCUGAGAGGGUGUACGGCCACAUUGGGACUGAGACACGGCCCAG